CGAGGCAAGUGGCUAGAGUUCACAGUCGCGGCCAGGAAAGGGUUGAGACAAAGGUCGGCGCUUCUGAGCUCCGUAGGGAGACCCCCGUCCCAACGCACGCACAAAGGGGAAAUUGAGGCCCGAAAAUCCUACAGGAUCAGCCCUGGAAGGAGCAAGAAUGGAGAAAAGGGAACAGUCUUCAAGAAUGGCGGGAGGGGCGGCACUGAAGCUGCUCUUCAUGCGCUGCCCAAGGUCCCACAGUGGCUGAGGAAGGGGUUCCAGGGAUCUGUGUCUAGGCUUGGGUGUCAGAUCAAGGACAUAUUAAGGUUUGAAUCCCAGCUGUGUGAGCGUGAGCAAGUGUCUCAACCUCUCUGAGCCCAUGCUUCCUCCACUUUGGGGUCAGUAUCAGAGGGGUAGUAAUGAUUCAUAAACUCACUCUAGAACAUAGCAUUUCCCCUCUCUGCGUUCCCACACAGUUCUUGAGCCCCUCCCCUCCCCUACUGCCCUUUGCCCAAGUAUGUAAGAGUGUAGAGAGGCAUUUUCCAAGCCUGGGUGCAGGAGUCUAUUCUGACCCUGGGCUUGUUGGAAAACCUUGGUUCUCUUGGACCCAUUCAUGGAGUUCAUCUGUGGCCUCUGAGGGAGCAGUCAAAAGGGGAGGCGGCCAGUUAGAUACCUGGGAGUCCAAGAUGAGCUGUCCCUGGUGGAAGAAGCUCCCUCGCCCCACACACACAUUAAGACUUUGGUGGGUCCUACACACUUUUGUUUUCAAGGGCUCCUUCCUAGAUUAAAAAACAUUUUUUAAAUAUAUUUUAUGGGUGGGUUGACAUAAAGAUGAAUAUAUUAAUAUUAUAUAUUAAAACAUUUUCUUCAGCCUAAAAAUUCUUUUCUUCUUCUAAUUUUUUAAAGAAAUUAAAACAUUUUCAUGGGUCUUAGGCAUCGUGUCAAACGGAUUAGUUAGCUCCCCUCCUCCCUCCUCAGUCUGGCCUACCUGGCUGUUCCAGAAAGUCUGAGAGAGAAGGGCAAGAGCCCUAGUGGUCUCUGAGCAGAACUAUCUUUGGGCUUUCUCUCUGCAAAACCCCCCUGGCUGAUAUAAGGAACUCCUACAACUUAAUAGCAAAAACCCAAAUAACCCGAUUAAAAAAUGGGCAAAGGAACCAUAUA